rnacentral:lncRNA from 1 species
AGCAGUCCCUGGGCGGCAGGACCAGCACACCCCGCGCUGCCUGAGGAAUGGCCUCCCGCAGGCGACACCGCUCAGGUCGCUCAGCCGUCCCAGAAGUGCCCUGUAUAAAGUUUUAUAGGCCAUAUCAAGUCACUGAAAAGCGAAGUUAAAAGUAGGAAAGGCGAGGCUGACGCUGCGGCGGGUAAAGCGCAGCCUGCAGUGCUGACAUCCCAUUUGGGUGCUGGUUCGAGUCCUGGCUGUUCCACUUCUGAUCCAGCUCUCUGCUAUGGCCUAGGAAAGCAGUAGAAGAUGGCCCCCAAGCCUUUGGGCCCCUGUUCCCACGUGGGAGACGUGGAAGAAGCUCCUUACUUCAAUGGGCGCAUCUCCAGCCAUUGUGGCCAUUUGGGCAUCUAGGAAAGGUAAGAAAGGAAAGAUUAACCGAUAUUUAUGAAACAAGUGUAAUAGAAAAACAAGUAUUAAAUAAAAGGUAUGCAUAGCCAAGAAAAAUGAGGGAGAUUUGCAAACUAAAAUAAUCCUGCACUUGCAUUUUUAAAAAUGUUUUAGAAAAAAAAAAGUCAAAUGAAACAUUAAACUGAACCAGCCCAGCCCUUACUAAAUUUGUGCAAAUCUUUCCCUUGCCCCCCCCCUUUCUUAAAAUCCCUGGGGGGGAGGGGUUGAGCUCACCUGAUCCCAGCCCCCUUCAGGUGGCUUCCAGAGGUUCAGCUGGGAGCUGCCAAACAAGGAGGCUUCCCAGAUCAAGUCCCUAAUUAGUGAUACGAAGAGAAAACCAUGAACAAUUUGUGCACUUGGUGGUAUUUACUUCUUGCUUUCUUUUAACAAACUGCCUUUUGGGAAGACAGUUGUCAUAGGGCAAAUCAAUCAUUUCAGCAGGAUUAAAAAUAUGGGGGGUGCGGGGUAUGCACAGGGACACAGAGCUGAGCUCAAAGGCUGAUGCUACUUAACUCAUCAUUGGGUCUCAAAGGAGAGCCCAGCCAAAUGUAUACCUUGUAGAAGAGGACAAAAACAAU